AAAGACGGACCUCUUUUUACGAAGAUGGGAGGCCAACAUCAUUCCCAAACUCAAAUCAGUGGCUGCCUUGGAACCAAGAGUGUCCUCUCUGUUGAAGGGUAUUGAAGAGAAAACUGAAGAUGACACGUGCUACACUUUCCUAGUGUUGCUAACACACCUGCUGCCCCCGGUUGGUGCCAGUCGUUGCAGUCUGAGAUCUGCAAUAACCCACCUGGUUGAUUUUACACCACCUGGAACAAGUAUUGCAUCACUUUGCGAGAUCCUGCAGCACCAU